AUGACAGAGGAGGAGAAGCUCCUAAUCCGAACAUUCAAUACUGUGAAGCUACCAACAAGAAAAAUAAUGGCAAUCCUAAGUUACUUGAGAGGUGGAAACACUCCUUAUACCAAAAAGCAUGUCAGCAAUGUUAGGACAGCCAUUGGCAAAGAGAGCAAUCAAAAUGACAUGAUGCAGGUGCUAACAUAUUUCAGGAAGAGACAAGCUAAAGAUCCACAAUUUUACUAUGCGUUCAAGACAGCUAAAGUCUCUGAUGAAGCAAGUAAAGUUUUGUGCAUUUUCUGGGCUGAUGGGUAUUCUAGGAAGAUGUACGAGCUGUACGGAGACUGCCUCAGCUUUGACACAACAUUUAAGACAAACAGAUACAACCUUCCAUUUGCUCCCUUUGUUGGAAUCACAGGACAUGACCAAAACUGUUUGUUUGCUUGCUCUAUCAUUGAGAAUGAAAUAGCUGACACCUUCCAAUGGUUGUUUGAGAUGUUCUUGCAUUGCAUAGGUGGCAAAUCUCCAUCCACAAUCAUCACAGAUGAGGAUGCUGGGAUGAAGACAGCUAUCCCUCUAGUUUUCCCCCAUAUCUGUCACAGACGUUGUUUGUUUCAUAUUAAAAAGAAGGCCGAGGAAAAAUGUACUAGGACUUUUGCUGCAAAUAAAACCCUGCAUGAUGAUUUCAGUGACAUCAUACACAACUCUCUGACGGUGACUGAGUUUGAGAACUUGUGGACACAGAUGCUCCAGAAAUACAACAUUGGGCAUGUGAAGUAUUUCCAAAUCAUGUGGAAGAAAAGGAAAAGGUUUGUCCCUGUGUAUUUCAAGAAGAACUUCUUCCCCUUCAUUCACUCUACUGCACGUAGUGAAGGCACCAAUGCCAUAUUCAAGGACAACAUCACGUCAACUCACAAUGUGAUAAGCUUCCUACAAGAGUACCAGAAGAUUUCAGAAACUAUACAAGAUAAGGAGCGGGAGCAAGACUCUAUCACUAGAACAACUUCGCCAACAUUGUGGGCACGAAGUGAACUUGAGUUGCAAGCUGAAAAAAUGUACAACCGAAAGAUAUUUUAUAGAUUCCAACAACAGAUAAAGUUUGUGUUGAAUUUGCAUGUUGAAGAGGUUGAGAGAAAUGUGAAAUAUGAAGUUUACAAGACACCAAUGCUAGCUGAAAAAGAUUUCAGAACAAGAAGAUUUGUUGUGAUUGUGAACAUGCAGCAACAGGAGUUCAGUUGUAUUUGUGGGAAAUUUCAGAAGGAUGGCAUUGUGUGCAGCCAUGUCUUGAGAGUACUUUCUCAUCUCAACAUGUCUACGCUGCCAGAGAAAUAUUACAUAGACAGGUGGAGGCCAAAAAAUACAAAGGACAUACGGGACAUCCGUUUCAAUGUUCCUUUGGAACUGACUGCUGGAAGUCAACACUUAAGGUAUACCUUGCUCUCCAACAGGCUCAAUGAGAUGGCCUCAGAUGGUGCAUCAACAAACAGAAAAUAUCUAUAUGUUGUAGCAGAAAGUGAAAGGGUGCAACAGAGGUUGGAUGAGAUGACUAAAGAAGAUGAACUUGCAGAAGCACAACAAGCAAAUAUUGACAAGGACACAACAGAGUUUGAUGCAGGACCGCAUCCUGAUGGCUAUGGGGACAAUCUUCAGGAUCCUGAUGUUGCAGUAUCAAAAGGGCGUCCAAAAAAAGGACGUUACAAAACUUUCAUGGAAGGUUUACUAUCUAAACAGAAGUCACAUGCAGUCGUUGUGGGGAGCCUGAUCACUAUAAAAAUAGUUGUACGGCAAGACCUGAAGAUAUCGAUUUGGCUCACAAAGAAAAAGUCAGCCGCAAACAUGUCUCAGCCUCUGCUGGGACAUCUACAGAGAAGCAGCCAGCUCAUGCAAAACCGAGCAAGAAGGCGAGAAAAGGAAACUGAGAAACUGGGUGCUACAAGUUCAAGAAGGCAUUGGUUUGGUUUUUUGAUUGUCCCUGCGAGCACUGAAAAAAUGUAA
rnacentral:rRNA from 1 species